rnacentral:rRNA from 1 species
ACGAACGCUGGCGGCGUGCCUAAUACAUGCAAGUUGAGCGAUGAAGAUUGGUGCUUGCCCCAAUUUGAAGAGCAGCGAACGGGUGAGUAACGCGUGGGGAAUCUGCCUUUGAGCGGGGGACAACAUUUGGAAACGAAUGCUAAUACCGCAUAAUAACUUUAAACAUAAGUUUUAAGUUUGAAAGAUGCAAUUGCAUCACUCAAAGAUGAUCCCGCGUUGUAUUAGCUAGUUGGUGUGGUAAAGGCUCACCAAGGCGAUGAUACAUAGCCGACCUGAGAGGGUGAUCGGCCACAUUGGGACUGAGACACGGCCCAAACUCCUACGGGAGGCAGCAGUAGGGAAUCUUCGGCAAUGGACGAAAGUCUGACCGAGCAACGCCGCGUGAGUGAAGAAGGUUUUCGGAUCGUAAAACUCUGUUGGUAGAGAAGAACGUUGGUGAGAGUGGAAAGCUCAUCAAGUGACGGUAACUACCCAGAAAGGGACGGCUAACUACGUG